UACGUAGGGUGCAAGCGUUGUCCGGAAUUAUUGGGCGUAAAGAGCUCGUAGGCGGUUCGUCACGUCGGCUGUGAAAUCCCGAGGCUCAACCUCGGGUCUGCAGUCGAUACGGGCGGACUUGAGUACUGCAGGGGAGACUGGAAUUCUCGGUGUAGCGGUGAAAUGCGUAGAUAUCGAGAGGAACACCUGCGGCGAAGGCGGGUUGCUGGGCCGACACUGACGCUGAAGCGCGAAAGCCAGGGGAGCGAACGGG
rnacentral:rRNA from 1 species